GGAAGAUUAUGUGAUGAGAAUAGGAGAAUGCCACAAGACAAGGACACCAUGGACUAACAGCAGCUGGAAGACACAGAGAACGAUCCUCCCUGUCAGGUUUCAGAGAGAGCACUGCCUGCUGACAUCUUGAUGUUAGACUUCUAGCCUCUGAAAUGGUUCUAGAAGUCAGUAGCAUUCCUUGGCUUGUGAAAUCCUUCCUCCAUCUUCAAAUCCAAAAACAGAUAAUCUCCCUAUUUUAAGGUCAUCUGAUUAGGAACUUCAAUGCCAUCUGGAAUCUUCAUUCCCCAUUGCCCAUCUUCCCAAAUUAUUAUUUUAGCAGGAAGAAUGUGUUUCCAAAAGUGGCAGUCUGCUCCAUUGCUGAUCCAGGUCCAGCACUGACCACAGGGGAUCCAUGACCCCUUCUUCCAUCCAAGAGCACCAGUGGACACGUAUUCUGCAGCCUUCAUAGUAAGUUGUUUCUGGCAAGAGAAGGACAACAAACUGCUAAAGGAACAAGGAUAGACUCCGCUUCUUAAAUAUUGGCAAACAGGCAGCGAGGGCUGGAGACACUUUCUCAGGUCAGUACACAGACAAAACAAAAAUAUCUGAUGGACUCUCAAAUUGGUCUAGGAGCUAAACACAGCAAGCAACACUCCAGUUAAUAUAAAGAAGGCUUCCAACAGAAACCAAGAGGAGAGCAAGGAGAAAUGCACAGAACUUGCCCGUUCUGUUGAAAGACAAACUUGAGGCCUAAACUAGCUUCUAAAUGAAGGACGAGAGAACAUUUCAAUAAAUAAAUACCUACAUAAAAUAAAAUGGUAACCCUAUAAAAACAUUGAGUAACAUAAAAUUAGAAACUUUUUAUUCAACACUUUCAGGGAAGGCUCUAGAAAAGGAGCAAAAUAAUCUUCUCCGUUUUCUUAAUGCAUUUCAUGAAACAAGGAUGUUCAUGGCAUGAACGUUGAGAACGUUUGGGCAAUAGACCUUAGCAAAGAGUUGGCCAGGGAGAAAGUACAGAUGGCAAGAGAGCUGGAUUUAAUAAAGAAAGGUGAAAGACAGUGACAGAAUUUGUUACUUUUAGAAUCUUUAAAGUAAAGAACAGGACUGCUACCAGAGAAAUCAAAGCAGUGACAUUGGAGGCCGUUCGAAGAGUCAGAACAAAACAUGAAACAUGAAUGAGAACAUGGGACGUGAGCAGGAUCGACUAGAGAUCUAAGCCGUGAUAACUGGGAAAGUAAGAUAGCAGCAGGGACUAGAAGAAUUUCUUGAAGAAGAGAACUAUCUUGAGUUGAAUAAAUCCAUUAAGUACCAACAAAAGUAUAAUUAAAAUAAACUAAUAUCCAGAUAGAUCAGGUGAAAUUUUCACUUCAAGGGCAAGAAAAACAAUGCUAGAAAUAUCCAAUUUGAAAAAUGAAGAAGGUCAGUUUGAAAUACAAAUGUUGCAGACAAAUGGAAAAAAAUAUAUCAGAAUGACUUCAGUAUUCUUUUUUCUUUGAGGAGGAAAAGUUGAAAAUGGAAAAUUUUCUUCAGAAGUAAAAGCACUUGUCUCUGAUUUGGUUUCCCCUUUCCAAGUGCAGCUAAGAUUGCAAUUCUAUGCCUGUUUAAACUUCGUGUAGGUGAAGUUGUAAUGAUAAAAUGAAAAUAGGUAGUCAGGGGCCAGCCCGGUGGCCCCUCAGUUGGUAUUGUUUAGUGACAAAAAUUGGCAAACUCAAAUAACUUUGACUCAACAAGAAAUAGCUUUCCCUCUCUCUCUGUAAGAAUUCUGGAGGUCAGCCAUCCAGGGCAGGUCAGGCGAGUCCUUCUUCACCAUCCUUAGAUUGAGGUCUAUAUUCUCAAGGAGGAAGAAUGGAAAGACAACAAGUUGUCUGCCUCCCAGCUGAAUUAGCCCCUUUAAAAAAAUAAUUUUCUGUGAUCACCACCUCAGAAAUUCUGCUUUUAUCUCAAUGGUUGAAAGAGCCUAAAAUGGAAUCUGAGAAGUAUACUUUUACAGAUGGGCACAUCCUUGUCCCUGACUUUACAGGAACAGAGUCCUAAGGAAGAACAGGGCAAGGGACAAUGAGUAGAUAACUUUCAGCCUUGACUUUUCGAAUGGUCCCCAUCACUACUAUUGUGACUAGGUUCUUCCCGCUUCUAGACGAAACUAGAACUAGAAACUCUGCUUCCUGUCAGCUUCUCCUCCAUUUUUGACCAACUCAGGAAAUGGCCCUAGAUUUCAUUUGCUUCAAUCAAAAUUCAGGAAGUUGUGUUUAGCACUAUUCAGCAUAUAAGAAAAAGUUAUGACUCAGAAAAUUUCUUCACAGCUGUUCCAUGUGGUAGAAAUUAUUUCUUUUCCCUUCUACUACAUUUUAACUGGAGUUGAACUCUCCAACUGGAGUUAAAAAUUGCCUUGCUUAGUUGGCUAUAUGCCUAUCAAUUAUUCACAAUAACUUCCUUCCAUAAGUGUAAAUCUUCUUUCAAUACAUCCAAACACAUCGGGUGUGAUGUUGUCACGUUCUUGUGGCCAUCUCCCCGGAGCCCUCGGAUUGUCUCUUCAGUCAGGAACAGAAAGGUGAAUCAGCUAUGUCUCCUGAUCUUGGAGAAGAGGGCUUAUGUAUGAGAUGCCUUAUGAGGCCCAGCAGUGUGC
rnacentral:lncRNA from 1 species